UUGGAAAAAUGAAUUUUGUAAGAAGAGUUGCUGUCAUUAUGGAAAAUUAUCAUAAUUAAUGCUAUUUCUUAAGGGAAUAAAAUAUUUAGUUGAUGAUAUAGUUCAUAUUUUUUCAGUAUAGAUACACCAAUCAUUACGGUAUCAAAUUGAUGAAGACAUACCACUGGAAUAUCUUAAUUCUCGUCAUUUCUCUGUAUUUCCAGUGUGUAAAUUACAAUUUAAAAUUGGAGCAGUGUGUUUAAUUAAAAUUUAAAAUUGGAGCUUAUUAAAAUUGGAAUAUCAAAUAUAGAUCAUGUAAUUUAACAAUCCGUAAUCUUGUACCAUUACAUAAACAUUCAAUUGCUAUAAAAUUAUGACUGGUGAUUAUGCUGGAGAAGUUGUAUUCCUUCCAUGUAUUAGAGAGAGGCAAUAAUUCUGCAAAUAGAUCAUCAUUUAUAUUAUAUCAAUGAUAAUUAAACAAAAUGUCUGUUUGUAGCACUGGUAGCAGUCGGUAAAUGAUGCUCAAAUAAAAAUCAGAAACAAAUCAGUUAGCCUAAUAGGCAUUAACAUCUGCAUGUGGGCCAUACAGUUCACAUGUUGUUUCCUUCCUGCCUUUACUGCUGCUUGCCAUGGUCCUUUAUGGUUUCCAAGAUGCUUUGUGUAAUGCUUGAGCACAAAACCAUGUCUAUGGUGUCGUCACCUCUGCAGUGUCUUUUACUUAACCCAGCACAAUGUAGUUGGUAUUUGAGAGACUUCACACUACCUAUUGCGCUAUGUAAAAAUUUUCAAGGUCAUGAAAAAAUUUUGUACCUUCCAGAUUUUCAGAAUGGAUUCAAU
rnacentral:lncRNA from 1 species